CACGUAGGGGCCAAGCGUUGUCCGGAUUCAUUGGGCGUAAAGAGCUCGUAGGCGGUUCAGUUAGUCGGGUGUGAAAUCUCCGGGCUCAACCCGGAGGGGCCACCCGAUACUGCUGUGACUCGAGUCCGGUAGGGGAGUGGGGAAUUCCUGGUGUAGCGGUGAAAUGCGCAGAUAUCGGGAGGAACACCUAUGGCGAAGGCAGCUCGCUGGGACGUUACUGACGCUGAGACGCGAAAGCGUGGGGAGCAAACAGG
rnacentral:rRNA from 1 species